rnacentral:misc_RNA from 2 species
GCGGAGGAAAAGAAACCAACAGGGAUUGCCUUAGUACGGCGAGUGAAGCGGCAACAGCUCAAAUUUGAAAUCUGGCUCCUUCGGGGUCCGAGUUGUAAUUUGCAGAGGAUGCUUCGAGUUAUGGUUCCUUCCGAGUUCCCUGGAACGGGACGCCAUAGAGGGUGAGAGCCCCGUCUGGUAGGAAACCAUGCUCAUGUGAAGCUCCCUCGACGAGUCGAGUAGUUUGGGAAUGCUGCUCUAAGGGGAGGUAUACUCCUUCCAAGGCUAAAUACCGGCUAGAGACCGAUAGCGCACAAGUAGAGUGAUCGAAAGAUGAAAAGUACUUUGAAAAGAGAGUCAAACAGCACGUGAAAUUGUUAAAAGGGAAGCGCUCGCUACCAGACGUGGGUUCGGUGGUUCAACCAGGUCCAUGACCUGGGGCACUCCGCCGGCCCAGGCCAGCAUCAGCUUUCCGUCGGGGGCAAAGGCGUCGGGAAUGUGGCUCUCCUUCGGGGGAGUGUUAUAGCCCGUCGCGUCAUACCCUUCGGGGGGCUGAGGUACGCGCUCCGCAAGGAUGCUGGCGUAAUGGUAGCUAGUGACCCGUCUUGAAACACGGACCAAGGAGUCAACCUUAUGUGCGAGUGCCCGGGCGUAAAACCCCAGCGCGGAAUGAAAGUGAACGUAGGUGAGAGCUUCGGCGCAUCACCGACCGAUCCUGAUGUCCUCGGACGGAUUUGAGUGAGAGCAUAUAGGGUUGGACCCGAAAGAAGAUGAACUAUGCGUGUGUAGGGUGAAGCCAGAGGAAACUCUGGUGGAGGCUCGCAGCGGUUCUGACGUGCAAAUCGA